rnacentral:lncRNA from 1 species
GUGGAUUUAGCUCAGUGGUUCCGCCGCCUGCCUUGCAAGCGUAAGGACCCGAGUUGGAUCCCUGGCACCAAAGAAAAAAAAAAAAAGAGAGAGAGAGAGCAAUGAGAUGGCAUUAUGGCAACGAUAGCAUCCUUCUCUUCAAAUUCAACAAAAAAAAAUCAACAGCUGUCACACUUUUCAAAAUCCACAAUAGGUAUCUGGCAAGGAAGAACAUCAUGGAGGAAUGGAGGGGUGGAGGAGAGCUGUUCACCUCAUGAGAGCUGGAGAGCAGAGAAACAGAAAAAGAGCCAAAGAGUGAUGGAGCCAGGUAUUUCUUCAAUUUCAAGAAUUUAGAAGUGACUUGGCUGGAAGUUUCCGCAUUGGAGACUCUCACAAAGUUGCAUUCAGAUGGUGGUUGGUUCCAAAAACAUUUCAAGGCUUCUUCACUCACUUGUCUGAUGGCUGGGUUGGGGAAGAGGACCAAAGUCACUUCAUGAAAUGAGAUAGACUGUCACAGUCAUCAUUGAAAAAGAGAAUGAUCAGGUUUAAGCGGAGAGAGAGUGAGAGGGACAACAAGCAUGAACCAAUUCAAGAGCUAUCAUUGGCCAGCAAGAACCCUGACUCUCCAGGACAUCUGUAGAAGCAUCGAAUUAGCAGAUCUCUUCGUCCCUUCAGAAAAUCAGCAGCUAAUG